rnacentral:sRNA from 1 species
AGCGGCGUGAGCAACGGGUUCUGCUCCGUCUUAAUGUGCAGCAGAGUGGUGGCUCCAGCAAAGGAGCUUCCGUUGUGCUGCUGCUGCUGCUGCUGGUGUUGCUGCUGCUGCUGCAGGAUCUGUUGCUGCUGUUGCUGGUGUUGUUGCUGCUGCU